UCGAGAUCUGGUCACGUGACUAUCACUACACCAACGAAAACCCUGUUGUUGUUCUAAACGGCUCUCGUGAGAGAAACUAAGAUGUGCUUGAAAUUUCUUCUUCUUCUGACAGUGUUGAGCACAUGUGUGUACGAUACAGGCUCGCUACCUAGCAAAUUUGACCACAGACCUUUCGGAAAAUCGUGUCGUUAUCGAGGUGUCCAUCUGAUUCACGGGACGACAUACAACUUCAAGUGCAUCUGUUGGGAUGGUGACGUGUUAUGUUGAGUACAAUAUAAGGCAAAGUGGUGUUGAUCAUUGAACUUAAAACAAGACUUUUGCCACAAAGACAAUGUUCCAGAAUGGACAAUUUUAGAAAGGAACAUGCAGAAUGGAUGUUUACACUCAUGCAAGAGUUCCCAUAAAGUCACAUAUUUGAAUAAAUUUACUUUUGUAUUUCAAAAUUAUUUUGACAAUUAAA